CCUUCAUUCUUCGAAAUUAAAAACCCCUCUCUCUUCAAAGAACCCUUUUCACUUCGAUGAACCCUAAAAGCUUACAAGAACCCCAGCCGUCCGCGAAGAACCCCGGCCCCUCACCCCAGCCCUUCAAAGAACCCCAGCGCUUGCAAUGCCUCCGUCGUCACUCUCUCUUCCGGAACUCCCAUCAUCGGUGCUCCUUCGGCGGUGACUCUCGUUCGUGGUGACUCUCUCGGCGCUCACCGUCCGUAGCAAGCCCUCCGUUGAUGGCCAAAAGAAACCCUUCCGCGGAGCGUUGGUCACAUCGUCGACGUCCUCGUCAACUCAGAUUCCCUUCGCCACCGUGAGAUUCUGGAAAGUUCAUAACAUGGGGUUCAACAGAUGACUUAGGCCAAAGCUAUGUUACAUCUGGGAAGCACGGGGAAACUCCAGAGCCUUUCCCUCUUCUGCCUGAAGUGUCUAUUGUAAAAGCAGCUGCUGGAUGGGCACAUUGUGUUUCUGUAACAGGUAACUUUGAUCUCCUUGUUUUGUUGGGACUGAAAUAGAAUGAAUAAAGGAACAUUGAAUGUGUAGUAUUAUGUCUUUGGAGUGGAGUAAAACGGGGGCUAAAUUUACACAUGAUUAUUUUCAACUGUGAACUAUGCAGCUGUUAUUUUCUACUUUUUGAAAUUAAAGCUUUAAUUUAUAUUUAUAUAU